AUAAUCUUAAAAAAUUGUAUAUUGGGAGAAGACCAAGGGUUGCAACAUUGUACAAGGAGGGGGUUCUGACCUAAUGUGCAUGGGGGGAGAGCAGUUGACCCAGUCUUCCCUGAAGAGGUUUAUAAUGGCCAGAAGCUUACCUGAGGAUCAAUACAGGCAGACACUCAGGUUGAAUUCAUAAAGAAACAACAUCAAGUCCGCAGCAAAAGCUAACUUCGAGGCCAUUCAGUGUUUGAAAAUAGUGGUUGAAGAGAGAGAGAGCACAAGCAGGGGGAGUGGAAGAAGGAGAAGAUGCUUAAUGACUGAGCCACCCAGGUGCUGCUGCCAUUUAAUUUCAUAACAAAAUAAUCCACACUCAACUGUGCCUUAAAUUUGUGACAUUCAAAGUCCACUUUUAUUUUAUUGUCUUGUUUUGACAUGAUGGAUUUAUGUUGGUAAUAAAAAUCAGAAUAAAAUGCCUCAGUACGGGGAUAUGUAUGAUACUUGCAGUGCUGUUGAGUUAUAACUGUCACUGUUAUU